UGUGAGGAUUGGGAUAUUCCGACUCCUUAAGGGCCUGGCGCACAUAAGGUGUGACCUUUUCAUUCCCGUUGUUAUGGAGGGCCACAUCUGCCAGAGCCUGGAGUCUGCGAAGGCCGGGACCCGGUUCCCCGGCCCACAGUGGGGGUGUGCAAACCCGAGAGAACUGGGUUGCAAAUUCGUGAAGAAUCAGCAUCAUGUUUGGCAGCUGAGUAUUGGAGCCAGGAGCCUGCCAUGAGGUUAUAUUCCCAGAGGAUGUCAGUCCCAAGGACCAGUAGCUGCCAUCAGUUUGGAUUCUGAAAACUAACUGGCAUCAACACUGGGUGUAGAAACAUGCUUGCCUUAUGUAUCAGAGGACAUGCUCAGCAGAUCCAAGAGAUAUAUUUGGCAACUUUUUCUAGAAAAGGCACAUUGGGUAUCAUUCAUUACAUUCUUGAGUUUUUUUGGGUUUUUUUUUUUUUUUUUGAGACAGUCUUGCUGUAUUGCCCAGGCUGGAGUGUGGUGGCACAAUCACAGCUCAUUGCAUCCUCAAUCACCCAGGCCUAAGCAAUCCUCCCACCUUGUAGCUGGGACUACAGCUCACAGCACACCUGGCUAAAAUUUUUUUUUUGUUGAGACGGAUUCUCUAUGUUGCCCAGGCUGGUCUCAGGCUCCUGGGCUCAGAUGGUCCUCCUGCCUCAGCUUCCAAAGGCACAGGCCAAGUUGUAGCUUUGUCCCUUGCCAUCAUGCCCAACAAGAGGUUCUAUACCUUUUAAUGAAUUGACUUUCAUAAAUUGGUUAUGUUGGUGGGCAAAGUUCUUUAAGCUGGAAAUUGUAAAUUCCUCCUGAAAUGUUUUUUCAUGCAGUUACCAUGAACUAAUACUACAAUAAAGGAUGGUCUUGGGUGUCAAUUCUUGAAAA
rnacentral:lncRNA from 1 species